rnacentral:rRNA from 1 species
GUGGGGAAUAUUGCGCAAUGGGCGAAAGCCUGACGCAGCGACGCCGCGUGAGGGACGACGGCCUUCGGGUUGUAAACCUCUUUCAGCGCCGAAGAAGCGAAAGUGACGGUAGGCGCAGAAGAAGCACCGGCUAACUACGUGCCAGCAGCCGCGGUAAUACGUAGGGUGCAAGCGUUGUCCGGAUUUAUUGGGCGUAAAGAGCUCGUAGGCGGUCUGUCGCGUCGGAUGUGAAAACCCGGGGCUUAACUCCGGGCCUGCAUUCGAUACGGGCAGACUAGAGUGUGGUAGGGGAGACUGGAACUCCUGGUGUAGCGGUGAAAUGCGCAGAUAUCAGGAAGAACACCGGUGGCGAAGGCGGGUCUCUGGGCCACUACUGACGCUGAGGAGCGAAAGCGUGGGGAGCAAACAGGAUUAGAUACCCGUGUAGUCC